rnacentral:sRNA from 1 species
CCAUCUUCUUCGGGGAGAGGGAUGAGAACCUUCGAUCAAGGUUCGGGUCGAGCAUCGCGAGACAACGCGCGUCAGCGCGGCCCGCAGGGUGAAAUCAUCCUUUUGAACCCGCUU